rnacentral:lncRNA from 1 species
UAUGUCGUUCUACGAUUGUAAUAUACAAGGAAAUAAAAGCUCAAUGGCAGGGAAUGUCGUGAUGUCAAAAGAGCCGCCUCGUCAACAACCUAGUGUUCAACAGAACAAUUACCUACACAACCAAGGGAUUGUGUUGGAUGGAAAUAUCUUCGGGGACACCAACAUUUCUGCCAACCAUUCCGUGUUCCCACAAGGUGAUCGGUUUGAUCAGUCCAAGGUUUUAACUUCACCAUUCAACGCAGGCUCUAACGACAAUUUCCAUUUCAUGUUUUACUGUCUUUGUAAACUUCACCAUUCAACGCAGGCUCUAACGACAAUUUCCAUUUCAUGUUCGGGUCUCCAUUCAAUUUACAGUCCACUGAUUACAAUGAAGCUCUUUCUGGGAUCACACAGGAUAACAUGUCGAAGCAAGAUGUUCCGGUUUGGUAUUAGCAAAGGAUGUUUGCUCAAAUGUAUAUCAAGUACCACGACUUUGUGCACAUGGAUAUCACUUGUUUCCAAGAGGGAAGUUCUACACACAAUCAAGUGGAGUUGAAUUGCCUACAGUUCUCUCACUUUGGUGUCCGUUACCACGUAGUUGUAGAGGUCGGAGGAAACAUCCUUGCAAUUCGCCAUGCUGGUUAGUUAAAACUUAUAGAUGUUUUUAAAUAAGGUAGUCGUCGUUUUGCUUUUACAUAAUUCUGUAUAGGUUAGUUUUAUCUGAGAUUUCAAUCUGUUUAAGUUUCUUAAAUAACUGUACUUCGUCGAUGAUUCGGAGACUUGUGAUCAACUCUUUUGUGCCUAUGGCUGGUCAAGUAUAAACUGUUAGAAUUCUUGUUUAAGUACUAUUUUGAGAGGUGAUUGUGGUUGUGUAUUAUAAGCCAAAGCUGUGUGAUAUAUUUUAGCAUCCUAUAUGCUAU